rnacentral:rRNA from 1 species
GUGGGGAAUAUUGGGCAAUGGGGGCAACCCUGACCCAGCGACGCCGCGUGGGUGAAGAAAUCCCUCGGGAUGUAAAGCCCUGUUGUAUGGGAAGAGCAGAAGACGGUACCAUACGAGGAAGCCCCGGCAAACUACGUGCCAGCAGCCGCGGUAAUACGUAGGGGGCAAGCGUUGUCCGGAAUUACUGGGCGUAAAGCGCACGCAGGCUGAAUUAUAAGUCGGUAGUCAAAUACGGAGGCUCAACUUCCGGAUAUCUAUCGAUACUGUACAUCUAGAUGACGUAAGAGAGAAGCGGACUUCCCGGUGUAGCGGUGAAAUGCGUAGACAUCGGGAGGAACACCAGUGGCGAAGGCGGCUUCCUGGCACAAUACUGACGCUCAUGUGCGAAAGCUAGAGCAGCGAACGGGAUUAGAAACCCGAGUAGUCC